AUUGAACGCUGGCGGCAGGCCUAACACAUGCAAGUCGAACGAGUGGCGGACGGGUGAGUAAUGUCUGGGAAACUGCCUGAUGGAGGGGGAUAACUACUGGAAACGGUAGCUAAUACCGCAUACCAUCGGAUGUGCCCAGAUGGGAUUCGCUAUUAGGUGGGGUAAAGGCUUACCUAGGCGACGAUCCCUAGCUGGUCUGAGAGGAUGAACAGCCACACUGGAACGGAGACACGGUCCAGACUCCUACGGGAGGCAGCAGUGGGGAAUCUUGCACAAUGGGCGCAAGCCUGAUGCAGCCAUGCCGCGUGUAUGAAGAAGGCCUUCGGGUUGUAAAGCACUGUCAGCGGGGAGGCGUUACCCGCAGAGGAAGCACCGGCUAACUCCGUGCCAGCAGCCGCGGUAAUUC
rnacentral:rRNA from 1 species